rnacentral:rRNA from 1 species
GACGAACCGAGCGAACGUUGUUCGGAAUCACUGGGCUUAAAGGGCGCGUAGGCGGGCUGUCAAGUCUGGGGUGAAAUCCCGCGGCUCAACCGCGGAACUGCCUCAGAUACUGACGGCCUCGAGGGAGGUAGGGGCGAGCGGAACUGUGAGUGGAGCGGUGAAAUGCGUUGAUAUUCACAGGAACUCCGGUGGCGAAGGCGGCUCGCUGGACCUCUUCUGACGCUGAGGCGCGAAAGCUAGGGGAGCAAACGGGAUUAGAAACCCCGGUAGUCC